rnacentral:lncRNA from 1 species
CGAGAUGGUGAAAACAAGACCAAGAUUGGAAAGCCAGCUUCAGAGGAGGGAAUUACAGCAAAAAUUGAACCAUUGACAGAAGAGUCUAGCAGUCUCAGAGAGAAUGUUCUCCAGGAUUCUGAAGGCAGAGAAUUCUGUGAAUUUGGGGAUAAAUUAAAUGAAAAAGAUCAGAACGCCUUUAAAAGGAGACCUCAAAACUGUGACAAAUAUGGGCAAAGCUUUGUUUGGAGUACAAGCCUUUUUAGGCAUCGAAGAACCCAUGGUGAGAAAGCUUAUGAAUGUGGUAAGUGUGGAAAGGCCUUUAGUGUGAGCUCAGCCCUGGUUCUGCAUCAGAGAAAGCAUGCUCAUUUUU